rnacentral:tRNA from 1 species
GAGGCAGUAGUAUAAUUGUUAAAUAUGUUCUUUUUUCGCUAGGAAGAUUAGUUGUCUUA